rnacentral:rRNA from 1 species
ACUCCUGCGGGAGGCAGCAGUGGGGAAUAUUGCACAAUGGGCGCAAGCCUGAUGCAGCCAUGCCGCGUGUAUGAAGAAGGCCUUCGGGUUGUAAAGUACUUUCAGCGGGGAGGAAGGCGAUAAGGUUAAUAACCUUGUUGAUUGACGUUACCCGCAGAAGAAGCACCGGCUAACUCCGUGCCAGCAGCCGCGGUAAUACGGAGGGUGCAAGCGUUAAUCGGAAUUACUGGGCGUAAAGCGCACGCAGGCGGUCUGUCAAGUCGGAUGUGAAAUCCCCGGGCUCAACCUGGGAACUGCAUUCGAAACUGGCAGGCUAGAGUCUUGUAGAGGGGGGUAGAAUUCCAGGUGUAGCGGUGAAAUGCGUAGAGAUCUGGAGGAAUACCGGUGGCGAAGGCGGCCCCCUGGACAAAGACUGACGCUCAGGUGCGAAAGCGUGGGGAGCAAACAGGAUUAGAAACCCGGGUAGUCC